UUUUCUGCGAAUUGUUUUGGCAAUUGUUUAUUCCUCUUAAAAAUAGUAGGUAUAGCACUGAAUAUCUCGAGGGAGUAUGAAAAUAUUUAUCUCAGAUAUUUAAUCUCAAAAUAACUAUUUCUUAAAAUAAAUAAUCAGACUAUGUGCGAUAAGGUAGAUAGUCGAAAGGGAAACAGCCCAGAACAGUAAUUAAAGCUCCCCAAUUAAUAUUAAGUGAA
rnacentral:rRNA from 1 species